UACGUAGGGCGCAAGCGUUGUCCGGAAUUAUUGGGCGUAAAGAGCGUGUAGGCGGCCAGGUAGGUCUGCUGUGAAAACUCGAGGCUUAACCUCGAGCUGUCGGCGGAAACCAUCUGGCUAGAGUCCGGAAGAGGAGAAUGGAAUUCCCGGUGUAGCGGUGAAAUGCGCAGAUAUCAGGAGGAACACCGGUGGCGAAGGCGGGUCUCUGGGCAGUAACUGACGCUGAGGAGCGAAAGCGUGGGGAGCGAACCGG
rnacentral:rRNA from 1 species